CUAUUCUCUCGUUGUCUUCAUCGCAUCUCUGCCUCUCUACCUCUCUGCCCUAACUCUUACAACCUUCCUCUACUGAAAUGGCCGGAAACCAAGUCAAAACCAUACACCUAAAACCUCAAUCUCUCUACAAAUUUCACCGUCCAGAUAUCAUAGACAAAGGCUUUGGAGCAAAGAUUCUACGCUAAGUGACAACAUAACUUCGAACAAACCGCAACCUUAUUGCCUUGGUACGUGGUUUGUUGAGGAUGAAGCUGUACACAAGUAUAAAUUGCCCAGAUAUGGUGGACAAUAUCCCCGGAAAAAACAACUGAUCUUCAAUACUUGUAGUUUCUAUGCAAUUCAAAGUUCCAAAGCUCUAAGAUUAUGUUGUCUAGUUCUCUAAAUUUGUGUGUAAAUAGCUGUGAAAUAUGUAUGUAUUUAUAAAGGUAAAAGCAGGUCUGAAUUUUUUUAAAAAAAAAUAUACAUAAACAGUACUUUCAAAGUA